UCGAAGCCUAGAAAGCACGACCGCGAAUGAGUUUACAAUUGGGGAAGCGUCGAGAGGCCCUUGGGCAGAUCGUUGCAACCUUGCUCGGUUGGUGAGGAGCUUUUUUGCUGCUCGUCUUCUGAAACUAACGAACCCCGGCGCGGACAGCGCCAAGGAAUCAAAACGAAAAGAACUUGUCCCUCCAACCCGUUGAUCGGGAUGUGUGGGCCUUGUCUGUUUAGAAAAUAUCAUAACGACUCUCGGCAACGGAUAUCUCGCCUCUCGCAUCGAUGAAGAACGUAGCAAAAUGCGAUACUUGGUGUGAAUUGCAGAAUCCCGUGAAUCAUCGAGUCUUUGAACGCAAGUUGCGCCUGAAGCCUUUAGGCNGAGGGCACGUCUGCCUGGGCGUCAUGCACUGCGAUGCCCCACACAAAUGUGCGGGCGAAUCUUGGCCUCCCGUUAGCCAACUCGCGGAUGGCUUAAAAACGAGCCUCGAGAUGGAAAUACGUCGCGACAAGUGGUGGUUGAAGAGGCCUCGGCCUUAGAACUUAGCGUGUUGCGUCCUUUCCCCUCUUUCGCUCAAAAAAGACCUUAGCAGAGUGCGAUAAUCGUGCUCCAGCAUC
rnacentral:misc_RNA from 1 species